rnacentral:rRNA from 1 species
AUUGAACGCUGGCGGCAGGCCUAACACAUGCAAGUCGAGCGGAUGAAGGGAGCUUGCUCCUGGAUUCAGCGGCGGACGGGUGAGUAAUGCCUAGGAAUCUGCCUGGUAGUGGGGGAUAACGUCCGGAAACGGGCGCUAAUACCGCAUACGUCCUGAGGGAGAAAGGGGGGGAUCUUCGGACCUCACGCUAUCAGAUGAGCCUAGGUCGGAUUAGCUAGUUGGUGGGGUAAAGGCCUACCAAGGCGACGAUCCGUAACUGGUCUGAGAGGAUGAUCAGUCACACUGGAACUGAGACACGGUCCAGACUCCUACGGGAGGCAGCAGUGGGGAAUAUUGGACAAUGGGCGAAAGCCUGAUCCAGCCAUGCCGCGUGUGUGAAGAAGGUCUUCGGAUUGUAAAGCACUUUAAGUUGGGAGGAAGGACAGUAAGUUAAUACCUUGCUGUUUUGACGUUACCAACAGAAUAAGCACCGGCUAACUUCGUG